CAGAGCUAGCAGCCAUCCCCAAAUGCAAAACAAAACAACUAAACAAAACCCAAAUCCAAAGCCAGCAAGACUUUUAUGCAGAGAGAAUCUUUAAAACUAACCUUAUUACUCUUUAAUUUUUAUUUUUCAAGAAGCCUUUGGGACAAAUUCAUCUUCUAAUCACCAUUUCCGAUAAUGAACAGGCAUCCAUCAAGCAGCCUGCAUUCCAGAUCCAGGCGCCCAGAACAACAGUCAGAGAAAUUUCAGCUUCUGUGCAUUGUUUUGGACAAACCCCAUUGCUGGGCAUGUACCUCCAUCUGGACUGAUGAGAAGAUGCAGACAGAUCACACAUAACCUCCUUCAAGGGCUCUCUGAGGAAUGCUUCUAGUACACUUCCCAAAUCAUCUCGGGAAUGCUUGAUGAGGAAACUCCCUUUCCCAAUGAAGAACAUCAGCACUUGCUUGGUAAGUUAUAGUCUUAGAGAGUCAUCUGGAGGCAUUGAGAACU